rnacentral:snoRNA from 1 species
AACCAAUGCGUCAGACAUUUUCAAAUUAAAUCUAUAAAUUAUUCCCAAGCUUCAUAUGGUGUUUCAUCCUCUGAUUGCCAAAAAGACGUGAUGUCAUUUCUAAGCUU